AUACUGUCAUGGAUGGAUAUACACUGUUCAGGAAGGACAGGCAGGGCAGAAAAGGUGAGGGAGUUGCAUUGUAUGUAAGAGAGCGGUAUGACUGCUCAGAGCUCCAGUAUGAAACUGCAGAAAAACCUGAGUUUCUGGAUUAAGUUUAGAAGUGUGAGCAACAAGGAUGAUGUUGUGGUGGGAGUCUGCUAUAGACCAUCAGACCAGGGGGAUGAGGUGGAUGAGGCUUUCUUCAGGCAACUAACAGAAGUUACUAGAUCACAGGCCCUGGUUCUCAUGGGGGACUUCAAUCACCCUGCUAUCUGCUGGGAGAGCAAUACAGCAAUGCACAGAGAAUCCAGGAAGUUUUUGGAAAGUGUAGGGGACAAUUUCCUGGUGCAAGUACUGGUGGAACCAACUAGGGGAAGAGCUCUUCUUGACCUGUUGCUCACAAACAGGGAAGAAUUAGUAGGGGAAGCAAAAGUGGAUGGGAAUCUGGGAGGCAGUGACCAUGAGAUGGUAGAGUUCAGGAUCCUGACACAAGGAAGAAAGGAGAGCAGCAGAAUACGGACCCUGGACUUCAGAAAAGCAGACUUUGACUCCCUCAGGGAACUGAUGGGCGGGAUCCCCUGGGAGAAUAACAUGAGAGGGAAAGGAGUCCAGGAGAGCUGGCUGUAUUUUAAAGAAUCCUUAGUGAGGCUGCAGGAACAAACUAUCCCAAUCUAUAGAAAGAAUAGUAAAUAUGGCAGGCGACCAGCUUGGCUUAACAGUGAAAUCCUUGCUGAUCUUAAACACAAAAAAGAAGCUUACAAGAAGUGGAAGAUUGGACAAAUGACCAGGGAGGAGUAAAAAUAUUGCUCAGGCAUGCAGGAGUGAAAUCAGGAAGGCCAAAUCACACUUGGAGUUGCAGCUAGCAAGGGAUGUUAAGAGUAAUAAGAAGGGUUUCUUCAGAUACGUUAGCAAUAAGAAGGUGGUCAAGGAAAGUAUGGGCCCCUUACUGAAUGUGGGAGGUAACCUAGUGACAGAGGAUGUGGAAAAAGCUAAUGUACUCAAUGCUUUUUUUGCCUCUA
rnacentral:lncRNA from 1 species